UGGCUAUCCCCAUUAGUUAAGUUUCAGCACCCCAAAUACCCCUUAAUACCAAACAACUCUUCGUUUAAGCUUCACAUUUUCUCCUGUACUCCUACAAAUAACUCAGCUCUGUUGCUGAGCAAGCACACAAGCAGUAGUCUCAUCCCCUGCCCUCCCUGUCUUAUCUCCCAAAUCCUCAUUAUCUAUGCUGCCCUUCCAGCACACAGCUCUCUCCUUAUUACCAGCACCAACAUCCUCACUGAUUACACACAGAUUAAACAAAUAAACCUUUCUUCCAGCUGCAGCAGUGCCUUCCCCAACACAGAAUUCUCUUUAGUCCCCAUAGCUAGGGAGCCCUCCCUGUCCCCUAUUUAUGUGCACCUGCCCAAUUAGUACCUCAUUAAGAAACACACCUGCAGUGGCUUUACUUCCACCCACUGCACUGUAACCAUUAACUCUCUGUGGCGUGUUACUUGAAUAGCAUCUUCUGCUUCAAAGACACAGAGGUUUAUUUCUUGCAGAUUAUUAUUUUUUUUUUUAAAGCAGUUGAGAAUUAGGCUAGUCUGUAUCUCACAUCAUAGUGAAUAUAUUGUAACUCAAAUUUAUACCUAAGUAAUGGUGGAAAUUUGUGCUGGUGCCAGUAAAUUGUCUGGCCGAUCUGCUUGGUGUGUGUGUGUGUGUGUGUGAGGUGCUACCCAUCUUCAUGCCAUACUGCUGGAAAGCAGAGAGCUAAGCUGUGUGGAGGACAAAGCCGUAACACCUCCAGCUGGUAUAGCCCCUCAGAGGAUACAACCAAGGGAACUUGUAUCAGUAAAACCCGUGCCGGAUCAAAUCACACCUGACAACCCUCCUCCCGCAGCGGCCUCCUGCUAAAUGCUUCAGGCAAAGGCAACAACACAAAACUCAGCCCAGCCUCGCUCCUGCCUACCUCAUCCUUUAGCUGCAACAAAUACCCCGAUCUCAAAGAAAUCAAGGGCGAUGCAAUGUAAAGAUAUAAGAAGAUUCAGCUGAUUAAAAUUCUUAAAACUCUUAGCCUCUUUCAUGAAAGAGGUGUAGGCUCAGCUCCCAGCACACUGAUGUGGGCUUCUCCUGUCUCUUGAGGUGUUGUUGGGACAUGCAU